UACGAAGGGGGCUAGCGUUGUUCGGAAUUACUUGGCGUAAAGCGCGCGCAGGCGGCUAUCCAAGUCAGUGGUGAAAGCCCGGAGCUCAACUCCGGAACUGCCAUUGAAACUGUUUAGCUUGAGGACGAGAGAGGUGAGUGGAAUUCCCAGUGUAGAGGUGAAAUUCGUAGAUAUUGGGAAGAACACCGGUGGCGGAGGCGGCUAACUGGCUCGUAUCUGAAGGUCAGGCGCGAGAGCGUGGGGAUCAAACAGG
rnacentral:rRNA from 1 species